rnacentral:rRNA from 1 species
AGGGGAGCGAACGGGAUUAGAAACCCCCGGUAGUCCUAGCCCGUAAACGAUGGAUGCUGGGUGUGGGGGGUAUAAACUCCCCUCCCGUGCGGAAGCUAACGUGUUAAGCAUCCCGCCUGGGGACUACGGCCGCAAGGCUAAAACUCAAACGAAUUGACGGGGGCCCGCACAAGCAGCGGAGCGUGUGGUUUAAUUCGAUGUUACACGAAGAACCUUACCUGGGUUUGACAUGCAGGUGGUAGUGAAGCGAAAGCCGAACGACCCUUCGGGGAGCCUACACAGGUGCUGCAUGGCUGUCGUCAGCUCGUGCCGUGAGGUGUCGGGUUAAGUCCCGUAACGAGCGCAACCCUUGCCCCUAGUUAUACGUGUCUAGGGGGACUGCCCGGGACAACUGGGAGGAAGGUGGGGAUGACGUCAAGUCAGCAUGGCCUUUAUGUCCAGGGCUACA